UACGGAGGAUCCAAGCGUUAUCCGGAAUCAUUGGGUUUAAAGGGUCCGUAGGCGGUCUAGUAAGUCAGUGGUGAAAGCCCAUCGCUCAACGGUGGAACGGCCAUUGAUACUGCUGGACUUGAAUUAUUGGGAAGCAACUAGAAUAUGUAGUGUAGCGGUGAAAUGCUUAGAGAUUACAUGGAAUACCAAUUGCGAAGGCAGGUUACUACCAAUGGAUUGACGCUGAUGGACGAAAGCGUGGGUAGCGAACAGG
rnacentral:rRNA from 1 species